AUUUGGCUGGAUUAUUUAACAUAUUUAAUGCCCGUGGUUGUUGUGAUCUGUUCAUAGCAGUCUCAUAGCAGAGUUUCUCUACCGGGACUGAUAUACAACCAUUAUGUUUGUAAUGCCAGGGUUGUGUCUGCAAACACAGCCUUGCCAUCUGGUACCCAGCAGGCAUACAAGACUCCAUGUACAGACGAUAGGAACCUGUGGCAAGCAGAUCUGGGGUGUGCAAAACGCAGAGUGACGAAUAUAAAGUAUUUUGUAAUAUAUUAUAAAUGAUAAAUGAUAGCCUGAUGUUUUAAAAGUAGUUUAUAUAUGAUGGAACUGAUUUUACUUCCUUAUUUACUGAAUUGUCU